GGACCGAGCAGAUAAGUCCGCGCUCGGGUUUGACUACAAAGGAGAGGUAGAUAUACACACCUCUCAAAAAGACUAUGCCGUUGGGUUUGGUGGGAAGUACGGUGUCCAGAAGGAUCGUCAGGACAAGUCCGCCCUGGGUUGGUCCCACAAAGAAGAAGUCAAGCCCCAUGAAUCUCAAACAGGUCUGGAAGCUGC